rnacentral:rRNA from 1 species
GGGUUGUGAGGUUAAGUGACUAAGCGUACACGGUGGAUGCCUAGGCAGUCAGAGGCGAUGAAGGGCGUGCUAAUCUGCGAAAAGCGUCGGUAAGGUGAUAUGAACCGUUAUAACCGGCGAUACCCGAAUGGGGAAACCCAGUGUGUUUCGACACACUAUCAUGUCAUGAAUACAUAGUGGCAUGAGGCGAACCGGGGGGAACUGAAACAUCUAAGUACCCCGAGGAAAAGAAAUCAACCGAGAUUCCCCCAGUAGCGGCGAGCGAACGGGGAGGAGCCCAGAACCUGAAUCGGCUUGUGUGUUAGUGGAAGCGUCUGGAAAGUCGCGCAGCAAAGGGUGAUAGCCCCGUACACUAAAAUGCACAGGUCGUGAGUUCGAUGAGUAGGGCGGGACACGUGACAUCCUGUCUGAAUAUGGGGGGACCAUCCUCCAAGGCUAAAUACUCCUGACUGACCGAUAGUGAACCAGUACCGUGAGGGAAAGGCGAAAAGAACCCCGGCGAGGGGAGUGAAAUAGAACCUGAAACCGUGUACGUACAAGCAGUGGGAGCACCUUCGUGGUGUGACUGCGUACCUUUUGUAUAAUGGGUCAGCGACUUAUAUUUUGUAGCAAGGUUAACCGUAUAGGGGAGCCGUAGGGAAACCGAGUCUUAACUGGGCGAUUAGUUGCAAGGUAUAGACCCGAAACCCGGUGAUCUAGCCAUGGGCAGGUUGAAGGUUGGGUAACACUAACUGGAGGACCGAACCGACUAAUGUUGAAAAAUUAGCGGAUGACUUGUGGCUGGGGGUGAAAGGCCAAUCAAACCGGGAGAUAGCUGGUUCUCCCCGAAAGCUAUUUAGGUAGCGCCUCGUGAACUCAUCUUCGGGGGUAGAGCACUGUUUCGGCUAGGGGGGCCAUCCCGGCUUACCAAACCGAUGCAAACUCCGAAUACCGAAGAAUGUUAUCACGGGAGACACACGGCGGGUGCUAACGUCCGUCGUGAAGAGGGAAACAACCCAGACCGCCAGCUAAGGUCCCAAAGUCAUGGUUAAGUGGGAAACGAUGUGGGAAGGCAUAGACAGCCAGGAUGUUGGCUUAGAAGCAGCCAUCAUUUAAAGAAAGCGUAAUAGCUCACUGGUCGAGUCGGCCUGCGCGGAAGAUGUAACGGGCUAAACCAUGCACCGAAGCUGCGGCAGCGACGCUUAGGCGUUGUUGGGUAGGGAGCGUUCUGUAAGCCGUUGAAGGUGGCCUGUGAGGGUUGCUGGAGGUAUCAGAAGUGCGAAUGCUGACAUAAGUAACGAUAAAGCGGGUGAAAAGCCCGCUCGCCGGAAGACCAAGGGUUCCUGUCCAACGUUAAUCGGGGCAGGGUGAGUCGACCCUAAGGCGAGGCUGAAAAGCGUAGUCGAUGGGAAACAGGUUAAUAUUCCUGUACUUGGUGUUACUGCGAAGGGGGGACGGAGAAGGCUAGGCUAGCCGGGCGACGGUUGUCCCGGUUUAAGCGUGUAGGGGGUGUGACCUGGUAAAUCCGGUUGCAUACUAACCCUGAGGCGUGAUGACGAUGCACUACGGUGCAGAAGUAGUUGAUGCCCUGCUUCCAGGAAAAUCCUCUAAGCAUCAGGUAACAUUAAAUCGUACCCCAAACCGACACAGGUGGUCAGGUAGAGAAUACCAAGGCGCUUGAGAGAACUCGGGUGAAGGAACUAGGCAAAAUGGUGCCGUAACUUCGGGAGAAGGCACGCUGGCAUGUAGGUGAAGUCCCUCGCGGAUGGAGCUGAAGCCAGUCGAAGAUACCAGCUGGCUGCAACUGUUUAAUAAAACACAGCACUGUGCAAACACGAAAGUGGACGUAUACGGUGUGACGCCUGCCCGGUGCUGGAAGGUUAAUUGAUGGGGUCAGCCGCAAGGCGAAGCUCUUGAUCGAAGCCCCAGUAAACGGCGGCCGUAACUAUAACGGUCCUAAGGUAGCGAAAUUCCUUGUCGGGUAAGUUCCGACCUGCACGAAUGGCGUAAUGAUGGCCAGGCUGUCUCCACCCGAGACUCAGUGAAAUUGAACUCGCUGUGAAGAUGCAGUGUACCCGCGGCAAGACGGAAAGACCCCGUGAACCUUUACUAUAGCUUGACACUGAACAUUGAGCCUUGAUGUGUAGGAUAGGUGGGAGGCUUUGAAGCGUGGACGCCAGUCUGCGUGGAGCCAUCCUUGAAAUACCACCCUUUAAUGUUUGAUGUUCUAACUCGGCCCCAUAAUCUGGGGUGAGGACAGUGUCUGGUGGGUAGUUUGACUGGGGCGGUCUCCUCCCAAAGAGUAACGGAGGAGCACGAAGGUUAGCUAAUCACGGUCGGACAUCGUGAGGUUAGUGCAAAGGCAUAAGCUAGCUUGACUGCGAGAGUGACGGCUCGAGCAGGUACGAAAGUAGGUCUUAGUGAUCCGGUGGUUCUGAAUGGAAGGGCCAUCGCUCAACGGAUAAAAGGUACUCCGGGGAUAACAGGCUGAUACCGCCCAAGAGUUCAUAUCGACGGCGGUGUUUGGCACCUCGAUGUCGGCUCAUCACAUCCUGGGGCUGAAGUAGGUCCCAAGGGUAUGGCUGUUCGCCAUUUAAAGUGGUACGCGAGCUGGGUUUAGAACGUCGUGAGACAGUUCGGUCCCUAUCUGCCGUGGGCGUUGGAAGAUUGAGAGGGGUUGCUCCUAGUACGAGAGGACCGGAGUGAACGCACCACUGGUGUUCGGGUUGUCAUGCCAAUGGCAUUGCCCGGUAGCUAAGUGCGGAAAAGAUAAGCGCUGAAAGCAUCUAAGCGCGAAACUUGCCUCAAGAUGAGUCUUCCCUGGGCCUUUAAGGCCCCUGAAGGAACGUUUAAGACUAAGACGUUGAUAGGCUGGGUGUGUAAGUGCAGCGAUGCAUUGAGCUAACCAGUACUAAUGAUCCGUGAGGCUUAACCUUACAACACCGAAGGUGUUU